rnacentral:lncRNA from 1 species
AAUGAGCCACCAUGCCUAGCCAGCUUUUACUUAAUUUUAAAUUGUGGGGAUCCCACUCAACCAAAAAAGAAUAGCAUUGAUAGCACCUUCAAAUGUUCUAGUCGUUUUCCUGUACCGUUAGAUCUAGAUAGCGAGUUCCCCGAGGGUUAGAGGCACACCUUAGUCAGGAGAAUCCUCAUAGCUGUAGCAAGCAUGUGUGCGGCACCCGGGAACACGCGGCUGCACGCCGUGCUUGCGGCAUCCCGUGGAUCCUUGUAGCAAUCCAUAGGGGUGACACGAUUCUUUGCAUUUUCAGGGUCUCUCGAAAGAUCACCCAUGUAUCUGCUGGGGAGUAAGUAUGGUCUUUGUUUCUGUAAACAAGAACACAUUGGUCGGUGAUAUGGACAGGGAUAUUUCCACUAUGUGGCUUCCAUUCUCCUACUUCUAGGUGCCAACAUCCAAGCAGCUCUUCCC